UAAUAAGUGUUUUACUGCACUUUUUAAAAAUAGUACUCACCUUGUGUGCAAUGUUGUGUUUCUUUUCGGAGAAACACCUACACCAACCUAUAACCUUGAACCACUUUGUCUGAGUACUAUAUAAUAGUUA
rnacentral:misc_RNA from 1 species